rnacentral:misc_RNA from 1 species
UUCAUUUGAGAUAGUUGGAACAAGGUAGAUGCUGCUGUUAGAUUUAUUAGCACUUCAGCCUUGUUCUUUUUCUACUAUUAAUGUGAGAUGAAAUUAGAAAUCUCUACAAACCUGUGUUUUAUCUAUGCCCUUCUAAAUGCACCAAAUGUUUUGUGGACUAGACCUUUGUAAGUGAACUGAUAUAAUUAUGGUAACAUAUUCUGUGGGAGAUCUAGAAUCCUAUUUCAGUAUUUACAUUUGAGAGGUAGCUGCCUAAAACUUGGGAUUUCAUGGAAUUCUCCAAAAAUAGUAUCAAUAUUGACAUUUGAUUCGCUUCCUUGUGAUCAAUUUGGUUCUAG